rnacentral:rRNA from 1 species
AUUGAACGCUGGCGGCAGGCCUAACACAUGCAAGUCGAGCGGAUGAAGGGAGCUUGCUCCUGGAUUCAGCGGCGGACGGGUGAGUAAUGCCUAGGAAUCUGCCUGGUAGUGGGGGAUAACGUCCGGAAACGGGCGCUAAUACCGCAUACGUCCUGAGGGAGAAAGUGGGGGAUCUUCGGACCUCACGCUCUCAGAUGAGCCUAGGUCGGAUUAGCUAGUUGGUGGGGUAAAGGCCUACCAAGGCGACGAUCCGUAACUGGUCUGAGAGGAUGAUCAGUCACACGGGAACUGAGACACGGUCCAGAGUCCUACGGGAGGCACCAGUGGGGAAUAGUGGACAAUGGGCGAAAGCCUGAUCCAGCCAUGCCGCGUGUGUGAAGAAGGUCUUCGGAUUGUAAAGCACUUUAAGUUGGGAGGAAGGGCAGUAAGUUAAUACCUUGCUGUUUUGACGUUACCAACAGAAUAAGCACCGGCUAACUUCGUG